rnacentral:lncRNA from 1 species
GAUCCCCUCUCUGUGGUGGGAGAGGAGACAGAGAAGGGUAGAGGGGCACGGAGAAUCUGAGCUGAGAGGAGGCCGAGUCAGGUGGGACUUGCAAGCUAUUAUGAGGACUUGGUUCCUCCUCUGAGCCAGGUGGAAUUAGCAGGGGAUUUAACCAGAGGAGCCAUCGUCUCCCCUAUGUAUUUCUGCCACGGUUGGCUCAGUUGAACUCACCUGUUGAAUAAGACUUGGCCUUGGCCACCCAGAGGCCCAUGGCUGAGGGCUUAACUCCUGGCAUGGCCACUGACACAUCCAUGUUUGGCACACACAUGGCUGGGCAGCCCUGAGACCUGCUCUGCCUGGGGCUCUCAUUGGUGGCAUUUCUCGUGUUUGUCCCCUCUCAAGUCUGGCCUAUUUAUGAGCCUCAUUACACCUUGGCAUGAAGAAGGAGGUUUGGCAAAUGACUCAUAAAGCAUCUUUUUAAAGGUUAAUGGUCACUAUUGGGGGGAGAAAGGGCCACUGAACAUGGAUGCUCUCUUUGCUGGUGUGGUUUUUUCAGUUAAGUGAAAAUAGAGUCAUGCCUCUUUGCACAUACCUGGUCUGAUUACCAAGCAGCCAAGGAAGCCUUGGGGUGUCUUGGAAGCUGGAACCGUCAGCCCUGUGUGAACUACAUGUGUUGUUACAUAAGUUGCUCCCAGGUGAGGGCAAGUGGGUCAGGCGAUCCCAAGCUCUGCUUCCUGCUUGGCAUGAGUGAGCUGUGUGUGAGGAGGUGGUUGUGGAGGAAUCUCACAGUCUGAGCAGACCAGACAGUUACCUGCAGGAGGGCAGGGAUGAUGCCGUUCUCGCAUUCAUCAUCCACAGUGCCUGGCACCUGCUCCAGGCCAUGCAGGUGUACAGGUGUCCAACUGAUCUUAGAUAAUGUGGGUCCUGCUCAGCGGCCCUGGGGAUAGAAGGGAAGUCAGCUUGAGAGCUUUCCUGGGUCAUGCCUCACCUAACUUACAUGGCGUUUCCAGGAGAGAGGGCUACCAGCGGUGUCUGUGUAUCAGUCAGGAUGAGUAACAGCAGCCGCUACAACCACACCUCCCAGUGCUCAGAGGGGAUGCACACAAGGGUUCUUUCCUGCUCUAGUCACAGUCUCACUGUUGGGGCAGCUCACCUGAAAGGACCCUUAGGAGACAAGCACCUGUGACUGAUGUGCAUCUUGCAAAGUCCUAAGGGAAGUGGGUAAAAUUUGCUUAUUCCAGCAGACAGGGAGGGGCACCCAGGGCAAACUCCCUUUGCCUGGGAGCAGGUGCAGUCCUUGAGUCCUGGGUCACCUGUUUCUUCCUCUGCCUUGGCCUACAGGCCAGAUGUGAUCUGACCUCUGCCUGCCUCUCUGACUCCAUCUCCCCUCCCCUUCCUUUCUUUCUACCAAUUAGAUUAUGGCCUCAGUGAAUGUGACCAAGGACCCUGGAUCACAGUGGCUUAGCCAAGGUGGAGGUUCAUUCCUGUUUCACAAGAAAGUCAAAGCUAAUCAAGUGAUUCUUCUCUGCAGUUUUCAGGGUCUCAGCCUCCUUCUAUCUUGUUAGUCUGACUUCCUUAGAGUGUGGCUUCCCCCGCCCAGUGUCCAUCCUGUCUCCUGCCAGCCAGCAGGGAGGGGAGAAGAGAACAAGAGGGCACAAACCUUCCUUCCUCUAAAGGCAGCCACUGUGCACAGGCCUAACCUCCCAGUGACCACAGCCUGGUCACAUGACCUCUGUUUGCUGCAAGGGAUGCUGGGAAAUGUAGUCUUCAUCCUGGAUGUCGGUACCCAGAUUUGUCACUCCUGUGGCUAAGGGGAGAGAGGACAUGGGAGAGAGUCACUUGUUCUGCCCACCCUUGCACACAUUUCUCCAGCAUAAGGUGACCUACUGCCUCAGCUUGCUCAGGACUGAGGGGGUUUGUGGGACACAGACCUUUCCAUUUUAAAACAGGGGCAGUUCUGGACAAAUCAUCCCAGCUUGGCUGUAACUCAGAAGUUUCCUGGGACAUAAGAUUUCUAGUGUUAAAACCAAGAGAGUUCUGGGCAAACCUGGACAAGUUGGUCCCCUCUACUCCAGACACACUGGCUUCCUUUCUGCUCCUCCAGCAGGCCAAGUCAGUGCCUGCUGUAGUGUCUUUGUAUCUGCUGUUACCCCUGUCUGGGAUUCCCUUUCUGCAACUCUGUGUGGUGCUCACUCCUCUUCUGUUGAGGAAAGGCUGCUCUCUGGGUGUCCCCGGGUGCUUGGUCUGCUGUACUCAGCACUACAUGCUCUGUGAAAAUCCCUCCAUGCUCUUCAUAGAAUGAGAUCUGUUCUUUCCACCCUUCCCUGCCCACUUCAGUUUCAAAUCUCUGAGGAUUUUUGAUUUUUAUUCUCUUCACCACUGAAAGAUACAUCUCUUUCCCUAAAGCUGUGGCUGGGCUCACACACAGCCAGAUAAAUCUGAUAUUAAUAAUAACCUGAACGAAAAACAUGUAUUAAAUCCCAAGAUUAUGAUGUAGGAAGCAAGGAUUCUGAAGAGAUGUGUAAGCCUAAUAAAGGCCAAAGGGUGUGGAUUAAAAGGAAAUGUGGGGUGGAGAAACAUUUCAUGAAAUAGAACCCCACCUCUUGGGUGAGUUCAUUGGUACAACCUUUCUAGAGGGCAAUUGGCAAUUGGCCAGUGAAAGUGCCGCAUAUCUUUUAGUCCUGAAUUCCAUUUAUAGGCAUUUAUCCCUAGGAAAUAGUCAGAAAAAUAUGCAAAGAUGAAUCUCUAAAGAUGUUUAUAAGAAGAAAGUAGGAAGCCUAAAUGCUUGCUGGUAGCCUCCUGCCCUUCCUCCGGUGCUCCUCUCUCCCCAGUGGCUGGACACUUGCUACGUUUUCCCAGCCUCCCUUGCAGCAAGCUGUGACCAUGUGACCAGAUUCUGACCAAUGCAAAGUAAUGAAAGUGUUGUGUGGCAUUUUUUGAAACCUUACAUCUAUCUUCUGCCUCAUUUCUUAUUUUUUUGUUUCCUCUCUCCUCCUUGGCCUAUGGAUGUGAUGGUUGGUGCUCUUCCCAUCAAUUUGUUCUGUGAAGGUGAGAUUCACAUCCUAGGAAGUGCAGAACAGUUCACUGGAAAAAAAACAGGGUCCCUCAAAUUUUGUAUACACACUAGACUGUCAAGCUCCAGCUUUGGUUUCUGUGAAAAAUACACUUUUGUCUUAGUUGAAGUUAGAGCUCUGCUAGAUGAAGCUGACUCACAUCCUAACUUGAUUAAAACACAAAAUUCAUUGAAUACAUUGUGGUACAUCCAUAAAUGCCAGUGCUAAAAAACAAUAAUGUUGAUAUGCAGAGUUCUCAUUGUCAAGUUGAUAAAAUAUUGUUGAGUGUACACGAGGCGGGUUUACAUCUGUAUGUAUUAAAACCACUAUUCCAUUUUCAUAAGACAAAAAGCACAUGUGUGUCUUGUGUGAUAUGUUUUUAUUAGGUUGCUCUAUCUAACCAUCCAUCCAUCCACCUAUCCAUCCAUCCAUCCAUCCAUCCAUCCAUCCAACCAUCCAUCCAUCCACCCAUCCGUCCAUCCUUCCAUUUGGCCAUCCAUCAAUCCAUUCAUCCACCCAUCUAUCCAUCCAUCCAGCUGACUCCUUUGCUUCGAUGAAGAAGUUGUCAUAUUGGAAAAAUGCUUGUGGCCAGGAACUGAGGGUGACCUCUGGCCAACAGCCUGCAAGGGACUAAAGCCCCCAUUCUGAGGCCUACCAGGACCUGACUCCUGCCCAGAGCCAUGUGAGCCUGGGAGCAGAACCUUCCCUGGUGGCUUCGUCCGCUGAGCCUCCACCCUUGGCCAACACCUUGAUGAUCACCUGCAAGACCCCCUGGGGUAGAGGACCCAGUUGAGCCAUGCCCAGACUCCUGACCCCUAGAAACUGUGAAAUAAUAAACAUGUGUUGCUCUAAGCUGCUAAGUUUGUGGUAAUCUGUGAGGCAGCAGUAAGAAAACUUAACACCUACUUAAUCCCAGAC